rnacentral:rRNA from 1 species
AGAGUUUGAUCCUGGCUCAGAUUGAACGCUGGCGGCAUGCUUUACACAUGCAAGUCGAACGGUAACAGGUCUUCGGAUGCUGACGAGUGGCGAACGGGUGAGUAAUACAUCGGAACGUGCCUAGUAGUGGGGGAUAACUACUCGAAAGAGUAGCUAAUACCGCAUGAGAUCUACGGAUGAAAGCAGGGGACCUUCGGGCCUUGUGCUACUAGAGCGGCUGAUGGCAGAUUAGGUAGUUGGUGGGGUAAAGGCUUACCAAGCCUGCGAUCUGUAGCUGGUCUGAGAGGACGACCAGCCACACUGGGACUGAGACACGGCCCAGACUCCUACGGGAGGCAGCAGUGGGGAAUUUUGGACAAUGGGCGAAAGCCUGAUCCAGCAAUGCCGCGUGCAGGAUGAAGGCCCUCGGGUUGUAAACUGCUUUUGUACGGACACGAAAACCCUGGGGCUAAUAUCCCCGGGUCAUGACGG